rnacentral:lncRNA from 1 species
CUCACAGCUGGUACCUUUAAAAGCUUUUGUUGCAGAGCAGACGAAAGAGAGCAAUGGAACAAACCAUUGCUUCCCAGUGGCGGUAGUGGUAAAGAAACCGCCUGCCAAUACAGGAGAUGUAAGAGAUUUGAUCAGGUUUGAUCUCUGGGUUGAGAAAAGCCUCUGCAGCGGGGCACGGCAAUCCACUCCAGUAUUCUUGCCUGCAGAAUCCCAUGGACAGAGGAGCCUGGCGGGCUACCGCCCGUAGGGGUCGCAAAGAAUCAGCCACGACUGAGCAACUACGCAUGCGUGAUCUCAGAAACUUGGUUUCCUGGAAACUGCUGCUUUUCUAAGAGGCCGCGGUGGUGCUGUGCGGUGCACGGGAGGGAGGAGAAAGCAAAUAGCAGUACCAAGUCCAUUGCUGAUCUGGCCUAGUUAGAGUUGAGAGUCGGAGAGGAGAGAGCUCGGGUUCCUUCAAAAGGGGUGAACUCUGAUACCUUGAGAAGAUGACAGAUGUGAAAAGCGGGAUAAUCUUCUUCGUGGCAAAGGGUUCUCUGUCUGCGGGUUUAAUGGCCAUAGGGUCUGCGGUGUGGCCUGCUGCGCUAGUAGUGGUUGCUGGGAUGGCCUUGUACGCCUGGAAGAAGAGCACUGAAAGACCAUGCCCUAAGAGGUCCUAGGUGGACAUCAGGUAAAAAUGAACAAGAACCCUAAAAUGUAUUGAAAGGAAUCCUCUCCCAGUCCCCUGCAGACUGGAGAGUCCACCUUCCUGGGGUCAGGAAUUCUUUGAAGCAACAUUUUAUCUUUGGGGUUUGAACAAAAUCAACUUGUGGGCAAAAAAAUAAAUUCAUUGAAUGUGCCUGACUCUAUUACA